UGAACGCUGGCGGCGUGCCUACUACAUGCAAGUCGAGCGAACAGAUGCGGAGCUUGCUCCUCUGACGUUAGCGGCGGACGGGUGAGUAACACGUGGAUAACCUACCUAUAAGACUGGGAUAACUUCGGGAAACCGGAGCUAAUACCGGAUAAUAUAUUGAACCGCAUGGUUCAAUAGUGAAAGACGGUUUUGCUGUCACUUAUAGAUGGAUCCGCGCCGCAUUAGCUAGUUGGUAAGGUAACGGCUUACCAAGGCAACGAUGCGUAGCCGACCUGAGAGGGUGAUCGGCCACACUGGAACUGAGACACGGUCCAGACUCCUACGGGAGGCAGCAGUAGGGAAUCUUCCGCAAUGGGCGAAAGCUUGACGGAGCAACGCCGCGUGAGUGAUGAAGGUCUUCGGAUCGUAAAACUCUGUUAUUAGGGAAGAACAAAUGUGUAAGUAACUAUGCACGUCUUGACGGUACCUAAUCAGAAAGCCACGGCUAACUACGUG
rnacentral:rRNA from 1 species